UUUUUAUGUACCCCACUAUAGUAGUGGGGGACAUAUUGUUUUUGCCCUGUCUGUCUGUUGGUCUGUCUGUCUGUUUGCGCCAACUUUAACAUUUUGCAAUAACUUUUGCUAUAUUAAAGAUAGCAACUUCAUAUUUGGCAUGCAUGUGUAUCUCAUGAAGCUGCACAUUUUGAGUGGUGAAAGGUCAAGGUCAAGGUCAUCCUUCAAGGUCAGAGGUCAAAUAUAUGUGGCCAAAAUCGCUCAUUUUAUGAAUACUUUUGCAAUAUUGAAGAUAGCAACUUGAUAUUUGGCAUGCAUGUGUAUCUCAUGGAGCUGCACAUUUUGAGUGGUGAAAGGUCAAGGUCAAGGUCAUCCUUCAAGGUCAGAGGUCAAUUAUAUGUGGCCAAAAUCGCUCAUUAUAUGAAUACUUUUGCAAUAUUGAAGAUAGCAACUUGAUAUUUGGCAUGCAUGUGCAUCUCAUGGAGCUGCUCAUUUUGAGUGGUGAAAGGUCAAGGUCAAGGUCAUCCUUCAAGGUCAGAGGUCAAAUAUAUGUGGCCAAAAUCGCUCAUUUUAUGAAUACUUUUGCAAUAUUGAAGAUAGCAACUUGAUAUUUGGCAUGCAUGUGCAUCUCAUGGAGCUGCACAUUUUGAGUGGUGAACGGUCAAUUAUGUCCCCCACUAUAGUAGUGGGGGACAUAUUGUUUUUGCCCUGUCUGUCUGUUGGUCUGUCUGUCUGUUUGCGCCAACUUUAACAUUUUGCAAUAACGUUUGCUAUAUUGAAGAUAGCAACUUCAUAUUUGGCAUGCAUGUGUAUCUCAUGAAGCUGCACAUUUUGAGUGGUGAAAGGUCAAGGUCAAGGUCAUCCUUCAAGGUCAGAGGUCAAAUAUAUGUGGCCAAAAUCGCUCAUUUUAUGAAUACUUUUGCAAUAUUGAAGAUAGCAACUUGAUAUUUGGCAUGCAUGUGUAUCUCAUGGAGCUGCACAUUUUGAGUGGUGAAAGGUCAAGGUCAUCCUUCAAGGUCAGAGGUCAAAUAUAUGUGGCCCAAAUCGCUUAUUUUAUGAAUACUUUUGCAAUAUUGAAGAUAGCAACUUGAUAUUUGGCAUGCAUGUGUAUCUCAUGGAGCUGCACAUUUUGAGUGGUGAAAGGUCAAGGUCAUCAUUCACAAGGUCAAGGUCAUCCUACAAUGUCAAACAUCAUAUAGGGGGACAUUGUGUUUCACAAACACAUCUUGUUAUACUUAGAAAAUUUGGUUAAGUUUUGUGUUUAGGUCCACUUUAUUCCUACAGUAUCAAAGCUAUUGCUUUCAUACUUGCAACACUUAUUAACUAUCAUAAGGCGACUGUGCAGGCAAAGUUAUGUAACUCUGACUGGCAUUUGGAUGGAAUUAUGGGCCCUUUAUACUUAGAAAAUAGAAAAUUUGGUUAAGUUUUGUGUUGUGGUCCACUUUACCCCUAAAUUAUCAUAGAUAUUGCUUUCAUACUUGAACACUCGCAAACUAUCAUAAGGGUACAGUAAAAGGACAAGUUGCAUAACUCUGGAUGUCAUUUUUAUGGAAUUAUGGCCCUUUUUUGACUUAGUAACUUUGAAUAUAUGGUUAAAUUUUGUGUUUCGAUCCACUUUACUUCUUAAGUAUCAAGGCUAUUGCUUUCAAACUUCAAAUACUUUCAUGCUAUCAUGAGGUUACUGUACCUGGCAAGUUGAAUUUUACCUUGACCUUUGACUGACCUUGACUCUCAAGGUCAAAUUAUUAAAUUUUGCUAAAAUUGCCAUAACUUCUUUAUUUAUGAUUAGAUUUGAUUG